rnacentral:pre_miRNA from 1 species
UAUUAUGCCAUGACGUUGUGUCAAUAUGCGAUGAUGUGUGUGAUGGCACAGCGUCAUCACGUGGUGACGCAACAUCAUGACGUAAAA